rnacentral:rRNA from 1 species
UAGGGAAUCUUCCGCAAUGGACGCAAGUCUGACGGAGCAACGCCGCGUGAGUGAAGAAGGAUUUCGGUUCGUAAAACUCUGUUGUUAGAGAAGAACAGCGCAUAGAGUAACUGUUAUGCGUGUGACGGUAUCUAACCAGAAAGCCACGGCUAACUACGUGCCAGCAGCCGCGGUAAUACGUAGGUGGCAAGCGUUGUCCGGAUUUAUUGGGCGUAAAGCGAGCGCAGGCGGUCAAUUAAGUCUGAUGUGAAAGCCCCCGGCUCAACCGGGGAGGGUCAUUGGAAACUGGGUGACUUGAGUGCAGAAGAGGAGAGUGGAAUUCCAGGUGUAGCGGUGAAAUGCGUAGAUAUAUGGAGGAACACCAGUGGCGAAGGCGACUCUCUGGUCUGUAACUGACGCGGAGGCUCGAAAGCGUGGGUAGCAAACAGG